AGGUGCUGCAUGGCUGUCGUCAGCUCGUGUCGUGAGAUGUUGGUUAAGUCCCGCAACGAGCGCAACCCUUGUCGUAUGUUGCCAGCACGUUAUGGUGGGAACUCAUGCGAGACUGCCGGUGUCAACCGGAGGAAGGUGGGAUGACGUCAAGUCAUCAUGCCCCUUAUGCCCUGGGCUGCACACGUGCUACAAUGGCUGGCACAAUGGGCUGCGAAACCGCGAGGUAGAGCGAAUCCCACAAAGCCAGUCUAAGUUCGGAUUGAAGGCUGAAACUCGCCUUCAUGAAGUCGGAGUCGCUAGUAAUCGCGAAUCAGCACGUCGCGGUGAAUACGUUCCCGGGCCUU
rnacentral:rRNA from 1 species